AGUGUCAAGACGAGUUAGCUUACUCUUUUUAUAAUGAAGAUCCUUGACUUUCAUUGGAACAACUAUCGUUAAGACAGGUGACAGUUGGUAAUUCAAAUUAUACAGUUUGAUAGAAGAACAUUUUAGGACAUAGCAAUCCAAGCUAACAAACGUGCACAAGUUGAGCUAACUAAUAGUGAUCAACCUUACACGUGGCUCCCUGCUGUUGCGCCUUGCGUCAGUCUUGCCAAGUGCAGCGCCCGUUAGGUAGAAGUAAUGCUUCACAGUGGUCCUAUAAAUUUGACAUUCAUUGGUGAAAUAUUUUAUUAACAACGAUUAGUGACGUCGCCUGGCAUCGCCCACCUUCCCACUGAUGUUCCUUGGAGGCCUGGAGACAUGGCAGAGACAUCUCGUCCCCGGUGGAGGAAUCUGCAGAUUUGUGAGGUGGAAGAUGCGGCUACCAUAUGGGUGCGAGAGGUUCCUUCCCAUGCAUGUUCAGAAGAGUUGCAACAAUUCUUGGAAAUGGAAAAGCAAAUGAAUUAUUACUUCAACAACAGGCAGCUUUAUAAUUACCAGCAUGCUUCCCACAUCACCAUUGGCCAUCCUGUGGUGGUUUGCUACAAAGACUGUUGGAGACGAGGGAAGGUGGAGAAGUUGCCUGAGGCCAAAGGGGAGAAGACCAGUGUGUUCCUUGUUGAUUAUGGCUUCAUGUGUCAAACCAGUCUGGUGGCCCUCAUACCUCUCAAUGAAGGGGAGUGGACCAGUGUUCCCUGCCAGGCCAGAAAAGUUGUCUUGCAUGGUGUGCUGCCCAUCUCCCUACAGUAUGUGUUCAUAAAUCAAGAAUUUAAAUUGACUUUAAAACGGUGUAAGCAUUGGGAUGCCUCAGCUACAGAUUAUGUUGAGUUACUCUCCUCCAAGAAGCCUUGUGUAGAAUUCACACCAUUAAGAUUCAGCCAAGAGGGCUAUUCCCAUGGUAAAAUGAGGAUCAUUCUCCCUGAAGAAACGUGGAUGCCUAUCUUGCCCAAAAUAUCUCAUGAUAAGUUAAUACAAACAGAAGAUGGCAAGAUGGCAUUAGAUCUUGCCCAGCUACUUGCCGAUUGUCAAUUUGCACAGCUCUUUUAUGAAACGGAAAAGGAGUGUGGUGGAACACAUCUUAACAUACGGAACACAAGUGUGUCGGCAGAAACUGACUCCAUCAAGAAUGUGGACACGGCAGUAGCUCGCCAAGUGCCAGGCACAGUGGGGUCAGGAUCAGACUUGUGCGUCACUGAAGGAACUUCUUCAAACCAUAACAAACUGCUAGACUCGGAUCACCGGGUCAGAGCUGGUAAUAUUGAAGGUUUUGAUCAAUGUGACAGUGAUGUGAAAUAUUCCUCCAGCAUUUUAACUUAUGACCCACAAAGUCUUCAUACAAGGAUAGAUACUGAAGAGAAGUUUAAGUUGAAUUAUAGUAAUAAUUCUGGUCAUUCAUCUUUUACUGAAGUAACAAAUCCACUAUUCAAGAGACUGUCAGCUAAGCAUACUACUCUGGCAGGAGAUGAAGUGCUUUCAAGUCUAAGAACAAAUCCAGAAUCUCAUUCAUUAAUCUUAAGAAAGAAAGAAAGUAUUGAGUUGCUAAAGAAUGAAGUCUGCACUGUAUUAGAAGUCCAGAAGCAAUUCAAGCCUGAUCUGAGCAUAGAUGAUAAGGAGAAUUUGGAUUGUGAGCAAGCUGUUGAAUACAAGGAUGGGAAGGAAGCCCCUCUUCCUGAGAGAUUUGAAGUAUGUGUUAGUGCAAAAGAUGUUCCAUUGAGCUCUUUGAGACACAGGUUUUCCAACAUUCCCUGCUGGGCCUCCAGGAGCUUAGUAGGGGUGAUGCAUCAUCCUGUAAAUGCAAAAAAUGAACAAAACAUUUACAAAAAGAAUUCUUUAGAGUUUGAUGAACAACCACCUUUCAAAGCUGGUAGUACACCCAGUAGUAGAAGAUCAGAAAUUAGGAAAGAAAUUCUCAAAGCGAGCAUUCAGCCUAAAAAUACAGAACCUCUAAAUGCUGCCAUAUCCAUAGAGGAAACAAAGCCUGCUUGUGAUGCAUUCUUCAUGGUAAACUCUUGUGACACUCUGACAAAGUAUUGUACUUGUGAUCUAGAUGAAAUUUACAAGAAUGUUAUUAAGCAAGACUCUCUUCACAGCACAACAAACAUUGUAAAGAUCUGUAGAGUGUUCAUGGCAGGUGAAUCUCCAGUCUUGGAGGAAGAAGUCAUGACUAGCAAAGUAAUAAUGAGUGCAACACUUAACCCUCACAUACUCAGUGUUCUUAGUGAGAGGGGAAUGAAUGCCACCAGACUGCAAGCCUACACAUGGCCAUCCAUUAACCGGGGAUGUUCAGCUGUCAUUGUUGGUGAGAAAUUGAGUGGGAAGACCAUGGGGUUUGUUGUGCCCUUGUUGUCACUUAUUUUAGAUACUUAUGAGCACAUGAGUAGACGCCUUUCUCCAGGCAUUGGCCCAGUGGUGGUGGUGGUGUGCAGCUCAUGGCAGAGUGCCAAAUGUGCUGCAGAGUAUGUUGUCAGUCUCUUACCUGCCAACUCCACUCUUAAAGUAAUGACAGCCUGGGGAGGAUGUGGAACUGAGGAAGAGAUCAGCACAGGUAAGCAGCUACUUGGAGGGUGUGAUGUGCUGCUCACCACAGCCCCUUGCCUGAUGCGCCUCCUGACGGGAGAGUCUACAGUGUGGAGUAGAGGUGGAGGCACUGAGGGAGCCACCACCUCCCUCAGAAGGUGUUGCCACUUGGUUUUUGAUGAUGCUGAUGUAGUAUUAGAGCAUUUCUCUUUGGAAGUCAAAGAGAUUAUAACCAUGUGGGGAAAUGAAAGGAAAGCCUGUGGUAGGGCAGACCUGCAGCUACAGGUCGUGGUAGUCAGUUCCAGGUGGACUAAGUUACUGGGCCAAUUAACUGAUGUUCUCCUUCCUCUUCUGGACCCAACAGUCAUAAUAUCAACACCUUUUGAGGCUGCCAUAGCUGCUAAAGUAAAGAAUCAUUGUCACUGGGUUGAUGAUGAAACAGAAUCUCUGAGUCUGGUUAUGAAUUUCAUAGCAGCAGCUUCCUCCCAGAAGAGCCUUGUCUUUGUGAAGGAUGAUGAUGUUGCUGCCUUGCUGAACUCAAUGAUGAAGAACAUUGCUGUGUACUGUUUAGUUGUGGACAGCAUGAUUCAUAAAAGUAGACUGAAAGAGUGUAUUGAUGAGUGGCAUGUGAUGCAGGGCAUAACUAUGAUUGUAAGUGAGCCGGCAGAAAAGGGUCUUCUGCAAUGUGAUAUUUCUGAUGCCCAGGCAAUAUUCCACACUCAUGUUGGCUUGUCUUGGAAUACCUUUGCUCUAAGGUAUGGUUUCAUGAUUGAUAGGUUUGUUUUUGAUGUGGAAGAAAAAUCUUUUUGUGAAUCAUAUAUAAUUUUGCCUAAAACUUCAAUAGAGAGAAGUCCCAAAAUUUGGGGUGAAUUGAACAGAAUUUGUAGCAAUGCUGCAGAGAAAAUGAAGAUGCAUUUGUUGUCAACAGAAAAUGGACAUCCAAAAGAUAACAGUUGUCUGUGCUGCCACCUCAAGGCGUGUGGGAGCUGUUUUGACGAGUCUUUUUGUAGACUUAAACAUGAUAUCAGCUUGUGUGACCAAGCCCGUGAUGUACCACAGACUGGUAAGGUUACCAUCGAGGUUGUCAGUGUGGUGAAUGCUUCCAGAUAUUUUGUGCGGCUCACUGAGUACCAAGCAAAGUCAGAUGGGCAGAGGAUUGAUCUCUCCAACCAUUAUCACAUUUUGAGAUCAGCCUUACAGCAGCAUUAUGCAGAUCCUGCUCACUGUAAGCCAGUGCAGGUUGCCAGGAAGGGCAUGCUGUGUGCACUGCAAGACAAGAGUGUGUGGAGCAGAGGACAGGUGGUGUCAGUGAACUAUUCCAAGGCCACUUGUCAGGUGAAUGUGUUUCUCAUUGAUGAAGGAAGAGAGAUGAUCAUUGAGUUAAGUUCUGCGUGUGUUCUUCCACCUUACUUUGCAUCAGUUCCCAAGCUUAUUGUUGAAGUGUUUUUGUGUUGCAUUCAACCUAAGGAUAAUGAUAGAGAGUGGACAUCCCAAGCUAACAGCUUUGUGGAGGAAAUCUUUGCUAGAAAUAAGAAGAGCAAAUUUGUGGGUACAAUUGUUUUGGCCUUGGGUUACACUUUGUGGCUGAACCCUCUCAUUGAAUUGUCCACAAUUGGCAAUAUUUGUGCUCAGAAGAAAUCACUUCGUGGGAAGCUACUGACAGAGAGGUAUGGAAUGGACAAUCCCAAUCACAUUAAAAAUCUUGAGCAGCUUUGCAUGAUGGCUGGGGUGUCCAUGAGGGAUGAGGACACACUGAGCCUGUGUUGGAUAGAGGCUCGUAAUGAAGCGUUGCAAAUUCUGAGUACUGUUAUUAAUAGGGAAGGCUUGAACAGUAAUAUUUUAACAAAUGGAAAAAUGGAAACAGGUGAAACAGCUAAUGAAAAUAAAGAAGUAUGCAGUAAUAGUGUUGUUCAUCACAAGGACAGUGUGAACAUGACACCUCUGGCUAAUGUAGCAAAAGACCACCUGCCAUCCGCUUCCCCAGGAAAGACUGAAGCUUGGCCUGACCUGUCUUACAAUAGGCUGCCUCUAAAUACUGAAGUGACAGUGGAAGUAACUGAAUUGGUUUCUGCCAAGGAAUUCUAUGUUGUACAGCAAGACAAACUUCAAGAAUUGGAUAAUUUAGAGGAUGAAAUCAACAAGCUGCAUGACUACCUGGAAUCCUGUGAGGGUGAGAGGCAGUCUGGUGGUGGCAUUGUGGCAGCCAAGCCUGCCAUUGAUUCUCUGUGCAUCGCCAAAUUUACAGAUAACAAGUACUACAGGGGUAAAGUGAAAGCUGCAGAGAGUGAUGGCAUAGUGAGUGUCUUUUUUGUAGACCAUGGAGAGACUAUCAAGGUCCCUCAACAGCAGAUUCAUGCUUGUACCCGUGCAUGGGUGGAGUACAUGCCGGCCCAGGCCAUCCGCUGCACCCUGGCCCACCUCACCAUCCCACCCUACCUGAACGAGCCUGCCAUGCAGACCAUGACACACCUUAUGGAUCUCACAGACUCCUGGAAAGUCAAGGCUCUGGAAGUAAAGGAUGAUGGUGGACUGCUGCAUGUGGUGGAGUUGACUGAGAAUGCUGGCGACACACCACUGGAGGUGUGGAAACAUCUUGUGCAUCAAGGUGUUGCUUUCAUGGAUUCUGAGGAUGUCUCUAAUGGUGACGAUCAAACUUCCGAGCUGUUCAUCACUGCGGACUUGGAUGAUGAGGAGUUAACAAAGUUCUUCUUUGGGAUCACAGACGUGAAGCAGCUGGACACCAAGAAGAAGGAAAUCCAUUUCAGACACAAUGAAACCACUGUACACCCAGAUGAGAAGGAAAGUAACCCUUCAUGCAUUUCAAAAGUAUGUGAAUCUGACUUGGUGCAGGAAAAUGCACCCAAAGUCUCAGAGAGAAAGGGAAAAGAAAGUAAAAAUAAUGUUGCUAGUGAUAAGACUUUAAGUGGUAAAAGUGUUGAUCCAGUGAAUCAACAUAUGAAAAACAAAUACACCAAAGAGGAAUAUAGUAACAUGAAGACAAACCUAGAAGAGCAACCCAGCUGUAAGGAAGUCAAAGAAAGCUUGAAUUUAAAGGAGAAAGAUCAAGACAUCCACAGAAGACACACCUCAGAGAGCCAAGUGUUGAACAUGAAGCGCCUGGGAAUGCCACCACUCAGUGCCGUUGAUGGGGUGACACAGAGGCUGGCCCCUGACACCACUUGGAGCCAAAAAGAUGACACAGUUAACAUCUCCAUUCACUUGAUUGGGGUUGAGCAGUACAAGUGUCAUGUCUCCUCAACUCAUCUCAUCUUCAUGUCAGUUUUGGGAGACAAGUUUUAUGUUGUGGAUGAAGAACUCUGUCAGAAGGUUGUCACACAGUCAUGUGUUGUCAAUGUGCAGGGAAUUUCAGUCUCCAUUACCCUGAAGAAAGCUGUGAAAGAGAAGUGGAUGAGUUUGUUCAAGGAUAGACGGCACCGGCCCUGGCUCAGAGUACAGUAUGAGAAUCUGUCAUUGGAAGAAGACUCUUCAGAGACAGAGGAUUAUGAUGAUGGUGAGGAUUGAUUUCUGGGAUCUCAUGCUCUCACCAACUCAUUAUAAAACUUCCAUGUGUGCAAUAUAUGCUAACUCAUUAUAAAACUUAUCAAUAUAUAGUCUACUAGUUAGUAUAUUACCUCUUAGAAAGUAAAGUGUGUAGUCCAGGUAACCAGUUUUUAUAAUUAGUUAUUGGUGUCAAUUGAAAUGUAAAACAAAAAUUCUCCACAGAUGGUUGGAGGAAAGUCAUGACCCACAGCAAGGAGGCAGCAGCAACCGGGGGUCUGGCUGGCGGAAUCAGCAGUGACACGGAGAGUUCCACCGAUACAGAGCUGUUUUAAUACUUAAGUGUCACUUGAGCAGGAGCCUAGGAAUGAAAAGUCAGUGGAGAGGUGGCAACAUUCUGUUCUUGUCUCUGAAUGGCACAGGCAAUUAGGAGGGCAAGGUGGAUGAGGAUAACCAGGUUAGAUGCCUUUCCACUGCAAAGUCCAAUUCCAAUAUAUAAAGAUGAAUAAGGUGGACUAGUAACAUCCAAACCACUGUAAAAUCUGAUUCCAACAGCAUAAAGAUGAAUGAGGUGGACAUGUAACAUCUAAACUCCUGAGGAAAUCGUGAGAAUAAUUCA